UCCCUUCCCCCUCUGUUCUCCCUGUCUGCUCACAGGUUAUCUUGACGAAUCAAAUUACGACCCAUCUGAGUGGAGCCCUCCCUUCUCAAGCAGACCUGGUGUCUCCGGCUGAUGAUUUGUCCCUGUCUGAAGGCACUUCUGGACCCAGCUGUGUGGUAGCUGCACUAGGAAACUCAUGGGGUCACUGUGUGAACACUCGGCUGAUUCUCCAGUACCUCGAUUCAGAGAGAAGGCAGGUUCUCAUUGCCAAGUCCCCUCUGGCGCCCUUCACCUCCUUUGUCUACACCAUCAAGGGCGAAGGCCUGGUUCUUCAAGGCCAAGAAAGGCCAUAGGGAUACUGUGACCUUUGUCCAGAGCUGAUGGGGGUGUGAUUUGUGAAAUGAAACAGGAUGGUGCUGCUUGGAAAAAGGAAAACGGAAGCCAACAUAAUGAGGAUUAAUUGGUUGAUUGCUGUUGAGAUGGUAACAGUGAUUUCAGACCCAGAAGGGAAGGUGAAGAUGAAGAAGCCUUUGUCCUGACUCUAGAUGCGGAGCCUGACGAGGGGCUCCACCGCCAUGGGAUGUCAGCAGCCAUAAGAAUAAUUUGCACUUACAUAGCACCUUUCAACCAUGUACCUCAAAGCGGUUUAGCCACAUUAAUUAAUUAAAGCCCACAAUCCCCCUGGGGAGAGGAGGAGGAGGAGGGCUAACAAGAUUUGUAAUUACAGAAGGGAAC
rnacentral:lncRNA from 1 species